UCCGGUGACCAUAGGCGAAGUGAAACACCCGUUCCCAUUCCGAAUACGACCGUUAAGCCUUCAGCCGUCGAUGGUAGUGCGACCACGCUGUCGUGUGAGAGUAGAUUGUUGCCGGGA
rnacentral:rRNA from 1 species